UGACCAUAUUUUUUGGCAGCGGCCCGGUGCUCGAAUGGUUUGCGCGUCGACCUCACAGUGCAGAGGUCAUGGGUUCGAUCCCUGCUCCGGCCUUCCUGUGUGGAGUUUGCAUGUUCUUCCCGUGCCUGCGUGGGUU